rnacentral:tRNA from 1 species
AAGAUUCUAGUAAAAUAUAUUACACUGCCUUGUCAGGGCAAAAUCAUGAGUUUAAAUCUCAUGUCUCUUAAA